UGGGGAAUAUUGCACAAUGGGGGAAACCCUGAUGCAGCGACGCCGCGUGAGCGAAGAAGGCUUUCGAGUCGUAAAGCUCUGUUCUAUGAGAAGAUAAUGACGGUAUCAUAGGAGGAAGCCCUGGCUAAAUACGUGCCAGCAGCCGCGGUAAUACGUAUGGGGCGAGCGUUGUCCGGAAUUAUUGGGCGUAAAGGGUACGUAGGCGGUCUAUUAAGUCAGGUGUGAAAGCGUGAGGCUUAACCUCAUUAAGCACUUGAAACUGAUAGACUUGAGUGAAGGAGAGGAAAGUGGAAUUCCUAGUGUAGCGGUGAAAUGCGUAGAUAUUAGGAGGAAUACCGGUGGCGAAGGCGACUUUCUGGACUUUUACUGACGCUCAGGUACGAAAGCGUGGGGAGCAAACAGG
rnacentral:rRNA from 1 species